UACAGAGGACUCAAGCGUUGUUCGGAUUCAUUGGGCGUAAAGGGUGCGUAGGUGGCGUCGUAAGUCGGGUGUGAAAUUUCGGAGCUUAACUCCGAAACUGCAUUCGAUACUGCGGUGCUUGAGGACUGGAGAGGAGACUGGAAUUUACGGUGUAGCAGUGAAAUGCGUAGAGAUCGUAAGGAAGACCAGUGGCGAAGGCGGGUCUCUGGACAGUUCCUGACACUGAGGCACGAAGGCCAGGGGAGCAAACGGG
rnacentral:rRNA from 1 species